rnacentral:rRNA from 1 species
CCUACGGGUGACAGCAGUGGGGAAUAUUGCACAAUGGGGGAAACCCUGAUGCAGCGACGCCGCGUGAGUGACGAAGUCUUUCGGUAUGUAAAGCUCUAUCAGCAGGGGAGAAAAUGACGGUACCUGAUUAUGAAGCCUCGGCUAACUACGUACCAGCAGCCGCGGUACUACGUAGGGGGCAAGCGUUAUCCGGAUUUACUGGGUGUAAAGGGAGCCUAGACGGGUGCACAAGUCUGGAGGGAAAUGCCGGGGCUUAACCCCGGAACUGCUUUGGAACCUGUGCAGCUAGAGUGCAGGAGAGGUAAGUGGAAUUCGUAGUGUAGCGGUGAAAUGCGUAGAUAUUAGGAGGAACACCAGUAGCGAAGGCAGCUUACUGGACUGUAACUGACGUUGAGGCUCGAAAGCGUGGGGAGCAAACAGGAUUAGAUACCCGUGUAGUC